rnacentral:rRNA from 1 species
UACGUAGGUGGCAAGCGUUGUCCGGAUUUAUUGGGUUUAAAGGGUGCGUAGGCGGUUUUGUAAGUCAGUGGUGAAAUACUCCAGCUUAACUGGAGGGGUGCCAAUGAUACUGCAGAACUUGAGUACAGAUGAGGUAGGCGGAAUUGACGGUGUAGCGGUGAAAUGCAUAGAUAUCGUCAAGAACACCGAUAGCGAAGGCAGCUUACUGGGCUGUAACUGACGCUGAGGCACGAAAGUGUGGGGAGCAAACGGG